AGAGCGGCGUACGGGUGCGGAACACGUGUGCAACCUGCCUUUAUCAGGGGGAUAGCCUUUCGAAAGGAAGAUUAAUACCCCAUAAUAUAUUAAUUGGCAUCAAUUGAUAUUGAAAAACUACGGUGGAUAGAGAUGGGCACGCGCAAGAUUAGAUAGUUGGUAGGGUAACGGCCUACCAAGUCAGUGAUCUUUAGGGGGCCUGAGAGGGUGAUCCCCCACACUGGUACUGAGACACGGACCAG
rnacentral:rRNA from 1 species